rnacentral:rRNA from 1 species
AUUGUACGCUGGCGGUAUGCUUAACACAUGCAAGUCGAACGGUAGCAGGCCUUCGGGCGCUGACGAAUGGCGGACGGGUGAGUAACGCGUAGGAAUCUGCCUCAUAGUGGGGGACAACGUGUGGAAACGCACGCUAAUACCGCAUACGCCCUACGGGGGAAAGCGGGGGACCUUCGGGCCUCGCGCUAUGAGAGGAGCCUGCGUUAGAUUAGCUAGUUGGUAGGGUAAAGGCCGACCAAGGCGACGCUCUAUAGCUGGUCUGAGAGGACGAUUAGCCACACUGGGGCUGAGACACGGCCCAGACUCCUACGGGAGGCAGCAGUGGGGAAUAUUGGACAAUGGGCGCAAGCCUGACCCAGCAAUACCGCGUGUGUGAAGAAGGCCCUAGGGUUGUAAAGCACUUUCAAUAGGGAGGAAAACCUGCCGGUCAAUACCCGGCAGCUUGACAUUACCUAUACAAGAAGCACCGGCUAACUCCGUGCCAGCAGCCGCCGUAAUCA